AAGCCUCUAAGCAUAUCCAUAGUCGUCCGUACCGCAAACCGACACAGGUAGAUGAGAUGAGUAUUCUAAGGCGCGUGAAAGAACUCUGGUUAAGGAACUCUGCAAACUAGCACCGUAAGUUCGCGAUAAGGUGUGCCGCAGCAAUGCGGUCUCAGCAAAGAGUCCCUCCCGACUGUUUACCAAAAACACAGCACUUUGCCAACUCGUAAGAGGAAGUAUAAGGUGUGACGCCUGCCCGGUGCUCGAAGGUUAAGAGGAUGCGUCAGUCGCAAGAUGAAGCGUUGAAUUGAAGCCCGAGUAAACGGCGGCCGUAACUAUAACGGUCCUAAGGUAGCGAAAUUCCUUGUCGGUUAAAUACCGACCUGCAUGAAUGGCGUAACGAGAUGGGAGCUGUCUCAACCAGAGAUUCAGUGAAAUUGUAGUGGAGGUGAAAAUUCCUCCUACCCGCGGCAAGACGGAGAGACCCCGUGGACCUUUACUACAACUUAGCACUGCUAAUGGGAAUAUCAUGCGCAG
rnacentral:rRNA from 1 species